rnacentral:lncRNA from 1 species
GGGUCUCUGUGGAGAUUUAAAGUGCCCAGCCUGGACGAUUAUGCAGGAGAGAGUGCCAACAGCGACAUCAUGUGUCCAUGAGGAGCAACAGCAGGCUCUGACUGGAUCCUGAAGGCGGAUGUGGCGUGAAACCAACUCCAUUCGGGAUUGUGAUGCCUGAGAAAAUCAAGAUUGGGACAAGCUCCAAGAGAGAGGUGUUAACUUCCUGGAAAUACGCAUAUGCCAGCGCUGUGGGGUCAGAAGCCCCUGGCAGAAAGACCAGGGGCGUGAGGAGGAGAGGCAGGAAGAAGGAAAGCAAAGGAUGUCACCCGCAGCCCUGUUCCCUGCCUGCCCCAGGCUCCACGUGGAGCGGGGCCUGCUCCACUUCCAGUCAGGUCCUGAGAUGGAUGCAUGAACAAAGCAUAUAGGAGCCCAAAAGGAGAACUUUCAACAAACCCUUAAUUUCCAGGUGCCUCAGUGUCCUCACACAACAGCAGAAGACGGAGGCAGCGAGGAUCCACUCACAAGAGGAGGAAGCGCUCUCCAUGGACUCUGUGUCCACGCUCUGGGCCAGCC